ACCCCGUGAAUCAUCUGGCACCGGCACGGAGAACUUUCUCAACAGCACAUAACGUGAUCCCAGCUUCCUUAGAAACCUGACCGUCAUGGCAGAGCUUUCACAACAGGAUCCCAAGACUGUGUCUCAACCUAGGAUAUAUCCGUGCCCGUAAAUCUGAUGGUGAGGAAUCUCUUCACGAGGGCAAUUCCCCAUCUUGCUGCAUAGCAUUCCCAUGGCUCUGGGGGACACGAGAAUGGCCAUGACCUUAAUAGUGAUGAUGGACUGAGUUAAACUGGAUCAGUGUCCUGUUGGAAGCCCUCUCACAGUUUUCCAGUCCCUCUUGCUUGGCUGCUUUAAAGUAAGUAAGUGCAAUCUAAACUAACAAACAAAUUACUGAGCGUUUUGGAGACAGAUUUCAAAACUUUACAACCAGCUGGUACAGACGCAUUUACAAAAUAGCGAAGCAAUGAGCUUGUCCCUGCAUUUGCUGAGAAAUGGAAGGCUUGGAUAUUUAUGGAAUUUAUUCUUGUCUCAAAACCUCGAGUAGUCCACACUGGUGGAGGGGGAGCCCUCUGUGGUGGGCACGUGCUUUGCCUGUGCAGCAGGGAGAAGUCUGCAGGUGCUACCGGCCAUGGCAGAGUAGCUGUGAGAUGUAAAUGGAUGUGAUGACCAGGAGGGAGGACCAGAGGAGAUGGACCUUCUGGGCUCCGGCAGAUGUUUCAGCUGCCUGUGCGCGAGAAACGAGAGCCUGCAUGACUCUUGUCCCUGCUGGGGUCUACAGAGCAGCCCAAGCCACUACUCAAAGCUUGAAGGAGAGAGGUGAUUUGCACAUCCUGGCUAGUUCAGCAGUUGCAGCUGAAGAAGUUUUCUUCAUUGCGUCAUCCUGGACUAGUUCCUACAUUUCAUCUCACACUGCUCUGCUAUACUUUCCCUGUACAAAGUGGAACCAUCGACUUUCAGCCUAGAAGGUCUAUUUUAAGAUUAAGGGGACAUGAAAUGAGGAAGAUCGUAAGUGAAGUCUCUGUGAAGAAGUUCACUGCACUUCCUCUUUAUGAAAACAAACUGCAGGCUGCCUCUGGCAAAUAUGAGGAUUUUUUUUUAAUGGAAAUGUACAGUGAAGACCUUAAUCCUUGAACCUGUCACAGCCCUGUUCUGUGAAGUCUGUGUAGAGUUUACAUGGGAGCUAUAAAUCAGAAAGAGCACAGAAAUAAGCAGUCUGCACUUCCUAUUGGAUGGCAAUUACAUUAAACUGCAGGGUGUACGCAUCCCCUCCAAGCUCUGAUCCCAGUCAAAACACCUUCUGCAGCAUUUGGCCACCUGUACUGUCACCAAAUCCUGCCACAUCACGGGGAGAAGCAGUACAUGGAGAGCUCUGUGUGCUCAAGCUUUCCAAGACCUACUCUGUGAAAGAGAAGAUUUGAUUGUGGUGAUUUGUAGCAAAUCUCUCAGCAGAAAAACUGGCUACUGAUUGCUACCAGCUUCCUCACGUCUCAGCCUGAAAUUAUUUCUGACCUGAAGAUUUCUGUUUGCUAAUGUCUUGGGAGCCAUUACAUGAGAAGAGAAGGCGUGAGACGAAAUCCUGUUUGCAAGACGUUAGCACGUAUUGGCUCCAGAAGAGAAACUACAAUGACAAUUAGAUUUUGCUGUUGACAACAGAGCGGCUAAUCACUGAAGCUAAAAUCAGAUUACACGAAAUGAAAGUCUGUUGCCUGGCUGCGGCCGUGUUUCAGAUGUUCUUAGAAUAAGUGUACCAAAAGGAAUUGCAAUCCCAUUAUCCAAACAAGAACCAAAAGCCCAAAUCGAAUGCCAGAAAGGUUAAACAACUCCUUCUCAGCUCCCUCCCCUGAUUCAACCAGCCGUCCUGUGGCUCGAGCCCUAUCUCCAGACACAUCCCAUGCUCCUUGUGCUCAUGCCACCUCUGUGCCAGGUGCUGCCUUCAGGUCCCCACCAGCAGCAAAAGCCAAUCCCCCCAAAGCCAACCCACAGCACCCAACCAUCAGCUUCAGCUUGAGAGACAACGUAGACAUAAAUAGAAAAGUCUUGUUAUUUUCUCUUGUUGGUCUCUCAAGCUUUCCCCCUGUUUUUACUCACACACUGGUCUCAUAAGUUUGACAACAAAUCUUAUCUUCUUCUGGACACCCACACCAUGGUCAGAGGCAUUGCAAUGUAAUGUUGGCAAACAUUUUUGGCUGCUUGGUAU